GUUCCCUCCCCCGUACCCUCGGGGAGCGGGAGGGACCUCGUCUGUUUCCCCAACGGUAG
rnacentral:rRNA from 1 species